rnacentral:rRNA from 1 species
UACAGAGGUCUCAAGCGUUGUUCGGAUUCAUUGGGCGUAAAGGGUGCGUAGGCGGCGCGGUAAGUCGGGUGUGAAAUCUCGGGGCUUAACUCCGAAACUGCAUUCGAUACUACCGUGCUUGAGGACUGGAGAGGAGACUGGAAUUUACGGUGUAGCGGUGAAAUGCGUAGAGAUCGUAAGGAAGACCAGUGGCGAAGGCGGGUCUCUGGACAGUUCCUGACGCUGAGGCACGAAGGCCAGGGGAGCAAACGGG